UGUAGCUUGACUGACAUGCCAGGAUGUUCAAUGACUGAUACUCCGAGCUGUGUAGCUUAAUAAUCAAACAGAGGAUGUCUACAUUAAGGCAUAGAAUACAAGGGUUGUGGAGAACUGGAGCCUAUCCUGCCAACAUUGGGUGACAAGACAAGAGCCAAACUGCAUUAACCGUUUGAAGCCUUCCAAAAUAAGAAAACCUUUGGC